AUACGUAGGGAGCGAGCGUUGUCCGGAAUUACUGGGUGUAAAGGGUGCGUAGGCGGGACUGCAAGUCAGGCGUGAAAUACCGGGGCUCAACUCCGGGGCUGCGCUUGAAACUGUAGUUCUUGAGUGAAGUAGAGGCAGGCGGAAUUCCUAGUGUAGCGGUGAAAUGCGUAGAUAUUAGGAGGAACACCAGUGGCGAAGGCGGCCUGCUGGGCUUCAACUGACGCUGAGGCACGAAAGCAUGGGGAGCAAACAGGAUUAGAUACCCUGGUAGUCCAUGCCGUAAACGAUGAUAGCUAGGUGUGGGAGGACUGACCCCUUCCGUGCCGGAGUUAACACAAUAAGCUAUCCACCUGGGAAGUACGACCGCAAGGUUAAA
rnacentral:rRNA from 1 species